AGCUCCGGUGGCCUAGUGGUUAGAGCGUCCGCCUCGGAUGUGGGAGAUCGUGGGUUCUAUCCCCGGUCUAGUCA